GCCCUCGUAGCUCAGCAGGAUAGAGCGGCGGUUUCCUAAACCGCAGGUCGCAGGUUCGAAUCCUGCCGGGGGCA
rnacentral:tRNA from 1 species